rnacentral:snRNA from 1 species
UCUACUUCUCGGCCUCUUCUAGGUUAAGAUCAAGUGUAGUAUCUGUACUUAUCUUUUUAAUAUCUGAUAGAUUCCCCUGCUUGCAAGGAGAUGUUCCAUAUUAAAUAGAUUUUUGAGAACGGGAGCCGAGAGUCUUU